UGAGCAAUCUGCCCUUCUCAUCGGAAUAAGCGUUGGAAACGACGUCUAAUGCCGAAUACGACCUCCUUUCGCAUGAUCGGAGGUGGAAAGCUCCGGCGGAGAAGGAUGAGCUCGCGGCCUAUCAGCUUGUUGGUGUGGGUAAUGGCCCACCAAGGCGACGACGGGUAGCCGGCCUGAGAGGGUGACCGGCCACACUGGGACUGAGAUACGGCCCAGACUCCUACGGGAGCAG
rnacentral:rRNA from 1 species